rnacentral:tRNA from 1 species
GGAGAUGGCGCAUGGUCAUCGACGAGGCGCGAAAUUCCGCGCUUUUCGGGACUUCGCGAAGCGGUUUAGGGCACCGCGUCAGGGUUCAAAUCCCUCCGUCUCCGCCA